rnacentral:rRNA from 1 species
GAUGAACGCUAGCGACAGGCCUAACACAUGCAAGUCGAGGGGCAGCACAAGGAGCAAUCUGAGGUGGCGACCGGCGCACGGGUGAGUAACACGUAUGCAACCUGCCUGUAAGCGGGGGAUAACCCGUUGAAAGACGGACUAAUACCGCAUAAUACUGGAGAUCUGCAUGGAUAUUCAGUUAAACAUUUAUGGCUUACAGAUGGGCAUGCGCAUGAUUAGAUAGUUGGAGAGGUAACGGCUCCCCAAGUCAACGAUCAUUAGGGGUUCUGAGAGGAAGGUCCCCCACACUGGUACUGAGACACGGACCAGACUCCUACGGGAGGCAGCAGUAGGGAAUUUUCGGCAAUGGGGGAAACCCUGACCGAGCAAUGCCGCGUGAACGAUGAAGGUCUUCGGAUUGUAAAGUUCUGUGAUUGGGGAAGAAUGGUAUUCUUAGGGAAUGAGGAGUACAUGACGGUACCCGAUUAGAAAGCCCCGGCUAACUAUGUGCC